rnacentral:misc_RNA from 1 species
UCACCCUCUCCGGCGCCCCCUUCCAGGUGUUGCCUAUCGAAGGUUCCCCACACAAAUCACCCCAAUUUUUCGCGCCACCGAAGGAUCGGGACAACCUGCCCAAGGGACAGGCCAAUCGGGUAGCCACAUAGCCAGCAGCAUGGGCAAGGGAGGUACGCGCGCCAGCACGAAUUCGCAGGCCUACCAGCACCCCGAAACGAGGUUACAUGGGCCGAAUCCCUCUAGCGCCUGCGAGAGCCUUCCAGCACGCUCCAGCGCGCCCCAGCACCUUCCAGAAGCUUCCAGCGCCUACCAGAGGCGUCCAGCAUGC